GCACAGUCAAGGGCUGGCUGGAGAAACCACCGUAGCUGCCAGCCCCACAGGGGAGGACAGGGGAGAUGUUCCAGUCACAGGCCUGUGGGCCACGCAGGCGAGACCCUCAAGCUGCGUCAGAGCAAACCGCCAGCAGGUGCUUCUUCUGCCUGAGCUCCUGGAGUCAGCAUGCAAAGCAGCCAGCUGUGUCUCUGGUGACAAGUGACUAUUCUCAAGCUCUUUGGAGCGUAGAGUCAUCCACGCAGAAAGCUCAGACCACGGUUGAGUGCAGGUAAAGUGAAAUGCCGAGUGCCCAGCAAUAGCUCAAAGGGCCAGAUGAAGGACGCAAAGGAAGGACCACAGGAUCUGCAGUUUCCCCGGAGAGAGGAGGAGGCCAGCGUGCCGGAGGAAGCUUCACAGCUCCAGAGCCCGUCGAUGGCAACACAACUUCUUGUCAUCCUUCCAGAGAGAGCAGACACUUGUGGCAGCAACUUGUCUCCUGCGCCUUGCUCUUCCUACUCUGUCCCAGAAAAAUGCCCUGAAGACGGAUGGCACAUUCCAGACAACAGAGAAAUCAAGAGCCAUUUACAAGUUUUGCUGUAAAAUGUAGGAUGCAGGUGUGUUUUGGUCUUGCUGU
rnacentral:lncRNA from 1 species